rnacentral:rRNA from 1 species
GGUGAACGCUGGCGGUAGGCCUAACACAUGCAAGUCGAACGGCAGCACAGUAAGAGCUUGCUCUUACGGGUGGCGAGUGGCGGACGGGUGAGGAAUACAUCGGAAUCUACUUUUUCGUGGGGGAUAACGUAGGGAAACUUACGCUAAUACCGCAUACGACCUACGGGUGAAAGCAGGGGAUCUUCGGACCUUGCGCGAUUGAAUGAGCCGAUGUCGGAUUAGCUAGUUGGCGGGGUAAAGGCCCACCAAGGCGACGAUCCGUAGCUGGUCUGAGAGGAUGAUCAGCCACACGGGAACUGAGACACGGUCCAGACUCCUACGGGAGGCCGCAGUGGGGAAUAUUGGACAAUGGGGGCAAGCCUGAUCCAGCCAUACAGCGUGGGUGAAGAAGGCCUUCGGGUUGUAAAGCCCUUUUGUUGGGAAAGAAAAGCAGCAGGUUAAUACCCCGCUGUUCUGACGGUACCCAAAGAAUAAGCACCGGCUAACUUCGUG